GUCUACAGCCAUGCUACCCUGAACAAGCUCAAUCCCGUCUGAUCUCAGAAGCUAAGCAGGGUCAGGCCUGGUUAGUACUUGGAUGGGAGACCACCUAGGAAGACCUGGUGCUGUAGAUG
rnacentral:rRNA from 1 species